rnacentral:tRNA from 1 species
GGUGGCUCAGUGGUAGAGUGCUUGUCUUGCAUGCAUAAGGUCCUGAGUUCAAUUCCUCAGCACCA